AGAUAGCACACGUACGUCGCGGAGAUGUCUGCGCGAUGUCUUGUUUUUCGUCUGGAAGACGUAUUAUUUAGGGCGUUUGCUCAUCUGGAAGGCGUCGCCGAGACGUCCGACCCAGCUGUUUGCAAGACACCCAGCAGAUCUUUACAAGAUGUAUGUGAUUUAGAACGAUGGCGAGCCGCCGUUUCCCAGAUCUUUACAAGAUGUUAGAACGGCAACCCGCUCUUUCCCAGAUCUUAAGAAGAGCUUUAAAAGAUGCGGAGCCGCUCUUUCCCAGAUCUUAAGAAGAGCUUUAAAAGAUGCGGAGCCGCUCUUUCCCAGAUCUUAAGAAGAGCUUUAAAAGAUGCGGAGCCGCUCUUUCCCAGAUCUUUAGAAGAGCUUAGAAAGACGGUAAGCCGCUCUUUCCCAGAUGUUUGUAAGAUUACAAGAUCCCUCAUUGAAUUGCCCUAAACUACAGCAAAUUAUUUCUACACACAUCUACACAUGCAAGCUGUGUCAUCGAUAUUAAGUAAUUAAAACAGCAUUUUCAAUUGAUCUUAAAACAGGCAGUUGUUGAUUUUAUAAAACACAUUUAUUCAAAUUAAACAAUGAAAACUUUCAUUCAUUUAUCUUUAAAUAUAUUUUUUACAUGACAGUAUGCGAAAACAACAACAUAUAAACAUAUUUAAAAUAAUCAAAAUCUUUCCGCGUCUGCUUUAUUAAUCUCCAUUCUAAAAUAAAACAUUUCAAAAACUUACCAGGAAAUAAUCGUGAUAGGCUGCUCUUUCUUUAUAACUUUAAUUAGGAUCUAGAAGAUAAAAUUACCCGAAAGUGUUAUCAUUGUAAAAUAAAUUACGGAUGUGCGUCUUUACGUCAAGGUCGUGAUUCUACAUAACAACAUCCGCUUGACCUCGCAAUGCCAAGAAGAAGAAAGGCGUGGAACACAUGCUUAAGCCUGUCAAGAUCUUCAGAUGAUGUUUGAGAAAAAAGUCAUCAUCCUCUUCGUCACUCUUCAUCCGUAUUUGGGGUAACAAACACCUGCUUCCCACAAGAGACUGGACCGCUGAAGUCAGGUGACCUGCACCUUCCUUGAACAUGUUGGUAACUUACUCUGUAUUUGUUCACGGUGGUCACCCCUGGGUCUCAGGACUCAAAACGAGUGCUCUAUGGAUUGAACAGAAAAUGUAGUAUAAACAAGUGUGGAUCAACACUCCAACCAUCUGCAUUAGGGACUGAAUAAAGGAUGCCCUCUGUAGCUGGGAAUGUUAGAUCAGGCGGAUCAACAUUCCAUCCAUCUGCAUUAGGAUCUACCUUAGAGACACUCACUGGAGCUGUAAAGGGAAGCAGGUCACUUACUUUUCAUUCGUCCUUGGUGGUCACCCCAGGGUCUCUAGAGUGAAAAUUACUCAAUCUAUGGAUUAAACAGAAAAUGUAGUUUUAUGAAGUGCAAUUUGGGACAUUCUUCCAGUUGUCAGUAACUUUGUGAAAAAGGCUGGAAACUAAAAUGCAAAAUUCUGGCCUGGUGUUUGGUCCGUGCUGUCUUUGGCUCUUGCAUCUCCAUCAUCCUGACCCUCUUUAGCAGCCUGUCCAUGUAUUUAUUUGGAGGCCACCAUGAGCACCCAUCUGCAUAAUAUGACUUUGUUACUCAGUUGUCCAUGCUCCUACAAAUUCUACAUUUUUUGUAAAGCUGCAACAAGUUGAAACCCUAUAAUUAUUAACAUUUGAUUUUGAAUUAUGUAAUUCAAAUACAUUAAUAAGUAACAAAAGCAGAAAUAUAUUAAGACAUUACCUUUUUGUUGAUUGUUUACUGAUCUAUAAAUCAUUUUGCAUUCACAUAAUUGAUCAUCAUAACUUGGUAUACAGUGGAUGUGUGGCUGUAGAUAACUUUCUGAAGUCAAUUUAAAAAGGCAAAAGUUAAUAAAUGCUAAAUUGGUCAAAUAUA